rnacentral:lncRNA from 1 species
UGUUAAAGUGUUAUAAAUAAUUAUUUCAAUCACGCGUAGUGAUUGUUGGCACGAGCCUUACCUAACAAACUCUCAGAAUUGUAGGGGAGUUGAACGAGAAGAUCUGAGGAGCUGAUCAGCGGAUUCCCGAGAUUUAUAUAUACCAACUACGGCUAGCAGUCUAUGUAUAUCUUCAGUCAACAGUACCACGCAUCUAUAAAGCGUACGUGUGAUGUGUUACGCCUCUAUCUGCUUCUGAACAGUUCAAUGACUGCAGAAUUCAGUCAGGGCAUGAGAUUUUCUGUACGAACACUGAAAUGGUUGUUAUGGACAUUCAAAUAUGCUGCAUUUGGAAUACCUCUGUGGCAGCGCUACCUGACGGAUUUCAUCGAAAACUUCGCAUAAAUAUCACAGGGACUUGUAUGGACAAACGUAGACUGUUUUCCCACCUGUUUUUACUAGAUGGCGGAGAGGUGUAAAGACGGCCGACAACACCACUAUAGUGGUGUUGCCAUGAUUCGAACAUAUCCGGGGAACAUUGGAGGAUGAUUAUAUGGACGUAUCCCACCAAACUAGGCAUGUAUCAACGAAAAAAAAUCCCGACCGCCAGCAGAUUAAAGGAUGGACACAUACAGUAUAAAUCAUACUAAAUGAUCUCUAUCUGGACAUUAUAAACCAGCACCAAUGGCUGACCAUUUGUUUAUUUUGUGGAAAUACACUACAUUGAAAUCUGAAGCUGAUGUUAGUUGCCGAUAGCAAGCCGUCAAUUCAUUGAAAGUUCUUAUACAGAUUAUUUUUCAUGAUCAAAUUAUUUGAAUCAGUAGAUAAGUAUUAGAAAUGUUAAAACAUCAUUGAUUCGAGUGCUUUUAUCCAUGAUAAUCACUGCAUGUAUGAAAUUCUUGUGAAUCCACAGCUAGCUUUAGCAUCAUCAUUAAAAUAGCGCGUUGCUCCAUUGUUAUUUCAGUGAAUGCUUCAAAUUUCAUUGGAGAUUUGAACGUUAAUUUCUAACGAACAAAUAAAUUAAAUUAAUUAAUACAUGAAAUCGAAUGACUUGUGAACCAGGUAGAAUCUGUUCAUAAAACUCGGCAAUAAUGCAAUUGGUUUUAUCUGGUGAGUGGUUGUCAGGUGAGAAUACCACAAAGAGGCAAACCGCAGUAUGUAAUUAACUUGGUUAGCUGGCUAGACCCCAAGAUGCUAGUCAAGAUACCCCAAUGCUUUGCAUUGAAAUGAAUGCUACUGAAUGCUAUUUCCUAAAAUGUGAUCAUUUUUUUACAGGUAAAAAAAUGAUGAUCCAUAUACCUAUGAGUCCACGUACCUUUAAUAUUGAUAUAAUAUGAUUUAUUGAAAAUCACGAAUUA